rnacentral:lncRNA from 1 species
AUCUGAAAUUCAGAAAGAAAAACAACACAUGUUGCCCUAAAACAGAAGGGUCUCACAAAAGACUUUCUUCAAUAAACUGCAGCAAAGAAAAAUUGAUGGAGCAUGAAAAUCUCGGGCUAAUAAUAGUAUAUGAAAGAAGAACAGAAAGUGUGUGCCAAGGUGUGACCCACUGAGAGAACCCUGGAGACAAGAGUGUACAGAUAAUGUAUCACGUAAUUCUAGAUUUUGUCAUGAAUUCCAUGAUGUAUUAAAAUAAUUAUUUCAGGAUAUUAUUGUCCCAUUGGCUUCAAAGGAUAAUGCAGAAAAACUAAGAGCCUCAGAAUUUUUUUAAAGAAAAUCAAAUUAGCUACCACAUUAAAAGUCUAUUUUUAUUUCAUUGUUGAUAUUUUCCAAGAAAAAAUAUAUUUCUAAAAUCUUCGGAAUCCAUUUGUGUGUUACCUUUUAAAACAUAGGAAAAAGGUAAAAUAGGCCAUCAGCUGAAAACACUUGUCUCUCCUGCAGUGCGAUAAUCUACUCACAUGAAAAUAUAAUGAGUCACUUUAAGAAUCAUCACACACAUCUCUUGCAGUUUGCCCAAGUGUUGGGAAUUUGUCAGGAAGAAAGCUACCUAUCAUCUGGUCUUUGGGACCACCAUGUGAUACUAUUCCAAGAUUCUGAAAAUCCAAGCAAUCUCAUUCACUGAGAGAAUAGUCAAAUGAUGUGUACUUUGUGAAAGUCAUACAAUAAAAAGAAAAACAUAACAGUAAAUCAGUUUUAUACUUUAAAUGUGAAAUUUUAGAU